rnacentral:rRNA from 1 species
AUUGAACGCUGGCGGCAGGCUUAACACAUGCAAGUCGAGCGAGCGGCGGACGGGUGAGUAAUGUCUGGGAAACUGCCAGAAGGAGGGGGAUAACUACUGGAAACGGUAGAUAAUACCGCGUACCAUCAGAAGUGCCAAGAUGGGAUUAGCUGGUAGGUGGGGAAAUGGCACACCUGGGAGACGAUCCCUAGCGGGUCUGAGAGGAUGACCAGACACACUGGAACUGAGACACGGUCCAGACUCCUACGGGAGGUAGCAGUGGGGAAUAUUGCACAAUGGGCGCAAGCCUGAUGCAGCCAUGCCGCGUGUGUGAAGAAGGCCUUCGGGUUGUAAAGCACUUUCAGCGAGGAGGCGUUACUCGCAGAAGAAGCACCGGCUAACUCCGUGCCAGCAGCCGCGGUAAUUC